rnacentral:sRNA from 1 species
GAACUAGGGAUGCCUACAAUAUUGCAGG